GCUUGCAUAGUGCCUCCAUCACAUCCUUCGUGUCUCCUGGCUGGGGGACCCCAGUAGCUGGGCCGGGGGGAGGAGAUGGGAUGCCAAGGAAAGUCAGUUUGCACAUCUGUAAAAUGGGCACAACAUACUGUCCUCAGGCUUGUGUGGUGAGGUGGGGCAGUUGGGUGAAUCAGUACCGGUCCGGGCGUGGGGGCGAGCCCAGCAGGAAGUGCUCGUCAGUGUCCGCAGCCUUCCCUCCGCCCUCCGGGUCUGCGCCAGGGCCUGGGUCAGCAGGGUCAGGAAAAGGGAGGCCCAGUGGGUAGACACAGCCUCUGCCCUGGGGGAGCCUCCUUCUCCAGGGGGUGCCGUGACUCUUUGGGGGAGCCCUGCCCCAGGUCAGGGCCUUGACCUCUUUUUCUCCACAGCACUGUCUGCUGGGCUGGGACGUUCUCCCUCCAAAACCCGAGGAAAGCUCCGGCCCCCGGAGCCUGGACCUCUGGUCCUGUGUCACCUCCGAGGCCCAGCACCAGCCGCUGUCGGCCGGCCCUUCCCACCUGGCCCAGUCAGUGCGGGUCCCGUCCCCCACCCCGAUCUGGUCAGAACCCCAGGCGCCCCAGCCCCGCCCGCGCACCCUGGUGGACGACCUGAGGACUGGCCACUUGGAGGACAGUGCUCCUGCCGUCGCCUCCAGCCUCUUCCCUCUGGCAGGGGUGCCCGUGAGAGGGGAGCCCUGCCCGGCCUCAGCUAGAGGUGGACUCAGGCCCCACCCUCCUAGGUGGGGCCGGUGGGUAGGCCCAGGCCUGUCUCCUUCCUGGGCUCAGAAGGGGUGACGGGUGGGAGGUCAGGGCAUUCUGUCAGCCGUGUUUGGAAAUAAAGCUCAGUGCUGUCUGCCCCUCCGGA